rnacentral:rRNA from 1 species
GACGAACGCUGGCGGCGUGCCUAAUACGUGCAAGUCGAACGCUUUUUCUUUCACCGGAGCUUGCUCCACCGAAAGAAAAAGAGUGGCGAACGGGUGAGUAACACGUGGGUAACCUGCCCAUCAGAAGGGGAUAACACUUGGAAACAGGUGCUAAUACCGUAUAACACUAUUUUCCGCAUGGAAGAAAGUUGAAAGGCGCUUUUGCGUCACUGAUGGAUGGACCCGCGGUGAAUUAGCUAGUUGGUGAGGUAACGGCUCACCAAGGCAACGAUGCAUAGCCGACCUGAGAGGGUGAUCGGCCACACUGGGACUGAGACACGGCCCAGACUCCUACGGGAGGCAGCAGUAGGGAAUCUUCGGCAAUGGACGAAAGUCUGACCGAGCAACGCCGCGUGAGUGAAGAAGGUUUUCGGAUCGUAAAACUCUGUUGUUAGAGAAGAACAAGGAUGAGAGUAGAACGUUCAUCCCUUGACGGUAUCUAACCAGAAAGCCACGGCUAACUACGUGCCAGCCGCCGCAGUAA